GAUGAACGCUGGCGGCGUGCUUAACACAUGCAAGUCGAACGGGAAAUAUUUUAUUGAAACUUCGGUCGAUUUAAUUUAUUUCUAGUGGCGGACGGGUGAGUAACGCGUGGGUAACCUGCCUUAUACUGGGGGAUAACAGCCAGAAAUGACUGCUAAUACCGCAUAAGCGCACAGGACCGCAUGGUUCGGUGUGAAAAACUCCGGUGGUAUAAGAUGGACCCGCGUUGGAUUAGCUAGUUGGCAGGGCAGCGGCCUACCAAGGCGACGAUCCAUAGCCGGCCUGAGAGGGUGAACGGCCACAUUGGGACUGAGACACGGCCCAGACUCCUACGGGAGGCAGCAGUGGGGAAUAUUGCACAAUGGGGGAAACCUUGAUGCAGCGACGCCGCGUGAAGGAAGAAGUAUCUCGGUAUGUAAACUUCUAUCAGCAGGGAAGAUAAUGACGG
rnacentral:rRNA from 1 species